rnacentral:rRNA from 1 species
GAAGGCCCCACUGUCUUAAGAGAAUUYCCAGUGAAAUUGAAUUCGUAGUGAAGAUGCUACGUCCAAUUUGUUAGACGAAAAGACCCCAUUGAGCUUUACUGGAGACUUUCAUUGCUCGGAUCGACUCUCGCCCCCCUGUAGGGGGGGGUSGAAUUUAAAUGGAUAGUUUAGAUUAUGUGGUGUCAUAACCAUCGAUCAAGUAGUCCCUACGGGAUUGCCCCGAAGGUUGACCUGUUUGGGUGAAUGAAACCCCACUCUUUUAUGUUAAAUGAGCUAACCCUUUCUCUCUUASGGGGGACAAUGAAAGUUGGACAGUUUGGUUGGGGCGACCGCCUUUUAAAGAGUAACGAAGGUGUGCUUAAGGUACAAAAAAUAAUAUCAGUAKCCUGACUGCGAGGGGGAUACCCCGAGCAGACACCUAAAGUCUUCUCCCUUCCCUCCCGAAAGGUUAAGACGAAUGGUGGGUUAUAGUGACCCGUUAAUUUAGAGUGGAAUAGUUAACGAUCAACAAAUAAAA